rnacentral:lncRNA from 1 species
UACCUUUUGCACUGUCACUACAAUGUAUGAUAUAAAAAGAAUAAUUUCUUCCUUAGACUUGGAGACUUGUUUCUAACAUCACCAGAUGUGUAUGUCCCAGAGAUAAAGAACUGUCCAGUGAGCUCCAGAGCGCGGUACUUACCUCCCAUGCCUCUUCUGCAUCCAGGGAUGUUAUCCAUGGUAAAAAUAACAUUCCUUACAGAGGCCUUCUCUCCAAGCAUUGCAAAAUGAGAUGAAACAAACACCUGUGCAAACUAGAACAGUAAUUGCAACAGCACACAGUUAUAUGAUAUGUACCUGGCACUGCACAUGAUAUGUACCUGGCACUGCACUGCAUGUAUGUCAGGCUUAAAAAUACUGACAUGAAGGGCCUAAUUAACAGUACUUAAUUGGCACCCGGUGUCUUUUGAAAUCAAGAAUUCACUGGACCUAACAUUUUUUUCUCAGAUCUCGUCUCCUCUGUAUUCCAAAUGUAUAUGAAAG